rnacentral:lncRNA from 1 species
CCUUUUUAUAAUGAAAGUCGAGAUCAUUGAUUUCUCGUAUUGCGAAAUCCGGUGGCCUUAUUAAAUUUAGAUCACUUGGAUUUUUUUUUACAAGAAAUAAUCCUGAAAAUUAAAAUCACAACGUUCUAUAUAUAGCUCAACGAAGUCUUCGUUCUCUCUUGUCCCCAAAAAUUGGACAAUUUUCCCCUCAAAAUUUUCUCUCAAUACUUGAAGAUUCGUGUUCAAAUGCACCAUAAUCUUUGGGUAACACUUUGACAACUACAUUACGUUCAUUGUGCGUGCCACUGUACACAGUCAUGCCCACACUCGAACUACUAAUUUCGUUUAGCCAAUUGACCUCCAUUUAAUGUACUGCAAAGAGAAAUACGAAGAUAAAUUCAACAUAACAUUUAUUUCUUCAACAAUUCCGGAAUAUAAAAGUUGUAAAAUAAAGAUUAAGGUAAAUAAUCCAAUAAAAAAAACCUCUCAAAACUAUCAUAACAUAAAUAAAUAUUUAAAUCAUACAAAAUUCAUUCAAAUGUUACUUUGGAUGAUAGUACAAAAUAUUUAAAUGUACACUAAUCUAUUUCAUUUGAUGUAGAGAUGAAUAAUGUGCACUUAUUUACUUCAUUGAAGUAGACAUAAAUAAAGUAUACUAAUUAAAUACAAUGUACUAGCAUGUAAAUUGGGUAUAUGAACACAGGUUUACAAGAAUUUUUUCAAGCUUUUGGAAAAUAAUUUAAAAACUUUUGACAUCAAAUAAAACCAAUACGAAAAUUAAAUUAAUUUAGAACUUCCAAAAACUAGAAUUCAAAUACUACUUUAUUUCAAAGGUCACUGCAUACAAAAAAAAAUAGAAAAAAAAUAAAAAAAAUAAAUAAAUGAUAAUAGAAAACAAGGCCAAGAAAAAAUAAGUAAUAUUCAAAAUUUUUAAUGCAUGUCCUAAAUUCUUGGGUAGGACCAAAUAAGUUUUUUCUCCAACCCAAAAAAAAAAAAACUUUAAUACGAACUAAACACAAAACUAUUUACUAAUUUCUAACAAUAUAUUUUUUAAAAGAAAAUUUUUAACAACAAUAUUAAAAAAGAAAAUUAUUCUCGGACUAGCAUACUUGUUAUAUGAAAUUUUUAUGUUAACUUUAAUUUAACGAUAAACUAUCUUUGGAAGAUAAAGAUUAGAGUGCAUCUACAAUAAAUAAGAACAAAAUUGAGUGCAUGAAUGAUGAGAGAAUACAUCUAGAAUGAACAAGAACAAAAUUGAUUGUAUGAAUAACAUAAAUCAUCGAAUAGCAUCUACCAUGAGCAACUUACAAAAUGCAAUAGAAACUAAGCACCUAAAAAUAACUGUCAAAAUUUCAUCAGCAUAUAGAUUUGUUCUUGUGAGUAGAAUGCAUUCAAAAUCUAAACCUUGUUAAUUUAUUCAUUUACUUGUAUAUUUAUUGUAGUUAUCAUAAUUAUGAUAAUUUGUCAGCAUACCCAAACAAUUAGUUCAGAUAGCUAGAGCACGUAAAGUAUCUAGAUUGCUAAUUACCAUAUCAUUUAAAAUGGUAGUAAUAUCAAUACCACAGUAGGGGGGAAAAACUCAAAUCAAUAUAAUUUUUAGCUUUUUCUUUCAAUUUUCUAGCAUGAAACACUAGAACGAAAUAAAAUUGCUGCAGAAAUCAAUAUUACAUCAUUUCCUGUUGCAGAUUCACAAUACGCAGCAGGAGAAGGAAAUACCAGGAAUGUAGAGUGCGAGCAGCCCACUGUUACUGUGAUAGCAGGAGGACCUACACUUGUUGGCGGUUCUAACAGGGCACAAAAGGAUUACAAAAGGCAUGCGAUGAUAAGCAGAGAAGUACUCUUCAAUUUGCCCACAAUGAAGAAGGUGAAGGUGAGACAAGUUUCGAUCAUGUGGACAGAUGAUGAUGAGGAGGGCAUUCUGUAUCCUCACAAGGACGCCUUGGUGAUAAGAGCAAAUGUAGCGUGCAAAGAAUUUAAUCGGAUACUUGUAGAUGGAGGGAGUUCAGUGGACAUACUCUUUAAAUCAACUCUCGAGGAGAUGGGAAUUGAAGAUCUAAAAUUGGAGCACACGAAUACUUCUUUGAAGGGAUUGGAGGAGGAAGGUUGACUCCAAUGGGGUUCGCAGAGCUACCGGUUACUAUAGCCUCGAGGUCCUUAUAAGAUUAUCUUU